ACCGGGGAGCCGCGGCCUCCCGCCUGCCGGAGCGGGUUAUCCCUGCGCCUCGCCUGCCCCCCCCACAUGAUCCGCGGGGCUGGGGUUUGGGAGCUCGGGUACCGCCGUGCGGGCCCAUCCCUGGCCGGUACCUUACAGCCAGGAGCCGUCAGGCCGCGGGAAAUGAGGUGGGAUUUUUGUCCCGGGCUCAUUUAGGGUGUCUUCGUUUUGUGGCCCACUUUUUUUUUCUUUUUUGCAGGAGGCGUGGGGUCCCAGGAAACACCCUGGAGCAUUGCCAGGUGCCAGAGUCCAACCCGGCUACACUCCCAGAGAACCUUUGCCUGCUACAGUUAGGCUAAACAAGCAACAUCAAACAAACGAUCUGUGAAAAGAAAAACAGCCAUAAUCACGUUUCCAGCCAACACUCUGCUGACCCAUGAUACAGGAAAAAUGCAGAGGAUUAGGAACGCUUUCCCUGGUUGCUCAGGCAACAGCAAGACAUGGGAAUAUGAAAAGGACUUCAGCAGACGUCAGCAGAGGGGACAGCGCUGCGUACGAUUCUUGGAGGAGCCAGGAAAAUAAGAGGAAGGGACUCUGACCGUGGAGUCAAACUGCAGAAUCCAAGGCAGAUUCCUUGAUCUGGGAGUGUCCUCCCAGCUGCCGACGUACAGAGCAUCUAACCCCAGCACCCAACAGGAGAGCUGCUGGUGGAGCUUCAGCCUGCACUGCACAGCCCCCAGAGCUCUCCCAGCACAGAUUGAGGGGGCAGAUGCAGUUUGGGGUGACCUCGGGCAGGCAGAGCUGUGUCCCUGCCUUGGCUGGCAGAGGUCAGCAAGACCAGCGUUGGAGGGGUCAGAAGAGUCUUCUUUCACAAUUACACUCAGCUGGAAGCCAAAUCACUACAGAAUCUAGCAAAUUAAUAAGGGGAGAAAAAAGGCUUUGCUGUUUCUCCUAAGAUACUUUCUCUGUUGCUCAAGAAGGUGUAAAAGCCGCUGCUGCAUAACGCAGGAAAUUUUCCCAGCAAUUCCCAGCAGAGGACAGCAAAUCCUAACGCCACAUUUUCUGCCUCAGCUUUGUACAGGAAUCUGCUCAGCUCUGUCCAUUCAAAACCACCACACACCUCUGGGCUGCUUCAACCUCCCUCCUUGAGAGCUCCAGAGCAGCUGAAAGUUUACAGGGACCAGUAAAGAUUUCUCUGGAUUUUUUUUUUCUUUUAGGCGA